UAAUACAUGCAAGUCGAACGAAGUUCUGAUUAUUGAAAGGUGCUUGCAUCUUGAUUUAAUUUUGAACGAGUGGCGGACGGGUGAGUAACACGUGGGUAACCUGCCCUUAAGUGGGGGAUAACAUUUGGAAACAGAUGCUAAUACCGCAUAAAUCCAAGAACCGCAUGGUUCUUGGCUGAAAGAUGGCGUAAGCUAUCGCUUUUGGAUGGACCCGCGGCGUAUUAGCUAGUUGGUGAGGUAACGGCUCACCAAGGCAAUGAUACGUAGCCGAACUGAGAGGUUGAUCGGCCACAUUGGGACUGAGACACGGCCCAAACUCCUACGGGAGGCAGCAGUAGGGAAUCUUCCACAAUGGACGCAAGUCUGAUGGAGCAACGCCGCGUGAGUGAAGAAGGCUUUCGGGUCGUAAAACUCUGUUGUUGGAGAAGAAUGGUCGGCAGAGUAACUGUUGUCGGCGUGACGGUAUCCAACCAGAAAGCCACGGCUAACUACGUGCCAGCAGCCGCGGUAAUACGUAGGUGGCAAGCGUUAUCCGGAUUUAUUGGGCGUAAAGCGAGCGCAGGCGGUUUUUUAAGUCUGAUGUGAAAGCCAUCGGCUUAACC
rnacentral:rRNA from 1 species